rnacentral:rRNA from 1 species
UGGGGAAUAUUGCGCAAUGGACGAAAGUCUGACGCAGCGACGCCGCGUGUGGGAGGAAGCCUUUCGGGGUGUAAACCACUGUCAGAGGGGAAGAACGGCGUCCGGUCGAAUAGGCCGGGCGAUUGACGGUACCCUCAAAGGAAGCGCCGGCUAACUCCGUGCCAGCAGCCGCGGUAAUACGUAGGGUGCGAGCGUUAAUCGGAAUUACUGGGCGUAAAGCGUGCGCAGGCGGUGAUGUAAGACAGAUGUGAAAUCCCCGGGCUCAACCUGGGACCUGCAUUUGUGACUGCAUCGCUAGAGUACGGUAGAGGGGGAUGGAAUUCCGCGUGUAGCAGUGAAAUGCGUAGAUAUGCGGAGGAACACCGAUGGCGAAGGCAAUCCCCUGGACCUGUACUGACGCUCAUGCACGAAAGCGUGGGGAGCAAACAGGAUUAGAUACCCUGGUAGUCCACGCCCUAAACGAUGUCAACUGGUUGUUGGGUCUUUACUGACUCAGUAACGAAGCUAACGCGUGAAGUUGACCGCCUGGGGAGUACGGCCGCAAGGUUG